UUAUUAGCGCCAGGACAGCUUUGCUGUUGACGAGGUUAGAGUUUAUCGAAAUAUUCGGCGGAUGCUCUAGGGCUUUCUACGGUCCUUAAAAAUUAACAAAAACUAGCAGUGAUGUUAGAACAGAUAUAAUUUU
rnacentral:ncRNA from 1 species